AACGAACGCUGGCGGUAUGCUUAACACAUGCAAGUCGAACGAACAAAAUUGGGGCUUGCUCCAAUUUUAGUGAGUGGCAAACGGGUGAGUAACACGUGGGAAUCUACCUAUCAGUACGGAAUAACAUUUGGAAACAGAUGCUAAUACCGUAUAUUCUCCAAGGAGGAAAGAUUUAUCGCUGAUAGAUGAGCCCGCGUAAGAUUAGGUAGUUGGUAGGGUAAUGGCCUACCAAGCCGACGAUCUUUAGCUGGUCUGAGAGGAUGAUCAGCCACACUGGGACUGAGACACGGCCCAGACUCCUACGGGAGGCAGCAGUGGGGAAUAUUGGACAAUGGGCGAAAGCCUGAUCCAGCAAUACCGCGUGAAUGAUGAAGGCCUUAGGGUUGUAAAGUUCUUUAGUUGGAAAGAUAAUGACGGUACCAACAGAAAAAGACCCCGGCUAACUCCGUGCCAGCAGCCGCGGUAAU
rnacentral:rRNA from 1 species